UUUGAAUGCCAGGGUCAUCAUCGAUCACAACCAUAGACUGUGAAGGCGUAGGUUUACAUGGGUUUAUAUACAGUCUAUGGUCGAAAUCUUUGUUUCCCCACCUGGAUCAAAACCUGGACAGAGGAGUCCUCGAGUAACCUGGAAAAGCAUUAAAAGCAGCGCAGGCCUAGGAGGAUCAUUAUGAUUCAUUUAUCCAGUUGUAAAUGAGGAGUCAUGGACUUCUGCUCCUUUGGGAAUCUCCAGCCCCUUUGAAAAGAAAAUAGAGGUUAAAAAUCUGCUAAACGAGUUAGCAGCAACCUGGAUCCUUCUCUUCCACAGACUGACAAGCCCAUGUCGGAGAGACAAGCCCCUCGCCUCUGAGCGCUAAUGGAUGAUUGGUGGCAGGAUAGGAGGCUUCAGUUCUCCCUUUCAUCCUUGCCUGCUUUUGACCCGGAGAGCCAGCAGUAAUCGGCCUGGCAGAGGGGUAAUCAUUCCCCGUGUGCCGACUCUGAUAAGUUGGAACACCUUCCCCCGGCAGCGGAGGGAGCUCCUGCGGCCUCCCUGGUUAUCGCUGUCCCCGGCACCCCUUCAAGAGGCUGCAUUGCCUCCUCUUCUAGGCUCAAAGGCUCCAUCAACGGCGGCUCUCUGCUCCGCUUUCAUCUGACAGAGCACAUAAGCCGCUGAAAGGGAGAAAAAUAAACUGGGUUCUAUCUCUCAAACUGUGAUCUUAUGAAUUCGAUUUGGUCACUUUUAAAAUGUAACUGCACAAUUUGUUAUUUUCUCCUGUUUCCCUUUCUCUGUUAAUAUCUGUGGCGAUAAAUUGCUUCGAUUGACAGGCUCAUUUUUUUUGUUGUGUGCUUCUGUAUUUGUGAUAAGGCAGCAAACUGUGGUCACCUGAAGGGGCUGAGAAGUUCUCUGAGGCUUGAGUGCUGUUUCUCAGCACCUUUCAUGUAAGCCACUGUGAAAAUUGUUUGGCUUAUUUUGUUGAGAAAAAUCCCCAUGUUUUGCUUGAUUACAUUUUGUUAUGGUUUUCCUCCCAUUUUUCAGAGAACUUCUUAAGCCUGCCGAGAUUACUGUUUAAUAGGGAUGAUAUUGUGCUGGCUUUAUUGGCUAUUUGCAGCUGCAACGCUGGUUCAUUUAAUAGCCCCGUCGGUUGUUAAAGGGAUUACACAGCUGCCACACUCUAGUGUGUACAUUGGGCCUCUGGUGGAAAAAAAGACUAUUGCCUGAAAUGGAAAGACAGAAGGGAAAAUAAUUUUCUGUAGUUUUUCAGAAAUGUGUGAUCAUACAUGCAAAGUUUGCCUGCCACAUUAAAAUUACCUGCUCGCCCCUUUGUGAUCUGACUCUGAUCAUAUCCCAUUCCAUAUCUAAGUGACCUUUAGAAAGCUAGAGGCACUACCCAACAUUGAUUAAAUAAAUUGAUCCCCACACAUUCAGAGGAUAUUAAUUAGACAUGGAAAACAAGUGAAUGAACACAAAUAGCUCUUAGUUUAAAUGCAAUAGCAAAUAAAACCUUGAGGGGGAUGUGAGAAAGCCCAGUAACACAUAAAGACCUGAAGCCGCUUGAUAUCAGUUUACAAUGGUGGAGCAUGUGCAGAAACGUCAAUCCACUUUGUGGAUUGUAAAACUAGUUGGAUUGACCAUAAAAUCAUUAUUAAAAAGGUACUGUUUUUCUCAAUUAAUAUGAUCGUUUUAUGGCUUCAUGUAAAUUUUUUUCAUUAAAUCUUUUUUUUUUUCAAGGCAAAACAAAUCCGCGUGAUUACUGAUACAUUCUAGUUAUAAGAUCAAUAUAUAGCCAGACUGAAUCUGUCAUCUUUGAAGCAGGAUGCAUGCUGAGAUGUCGUACUUUGGUGGCCUGUGACUUAUCCAUGUCAGCAGCAGCUGCCAAAUAGGUUUCAGACGAGAGGGCAGAGUCAUACAAUAUGUGCCAAAGCUAACAGCUGUUAACCACACAACCUGCAGGCUAUGAACUGCAGCUCUGUCCAUUGUCAGUCUUUCCACAGUUAAAUAUUCCAGGAGGAAUUUGUUACAACAAGGCCAUACAUAACGGGUAAAAACCCUUUACACCAAUAUUGCUCUCAAAAUUGGCAGCAUGAGAAGAAGGGACAUGAGGGAUGCUUGAGAGUGGUAACCUAUCCCUCUUAGCCCCCUGGGAGCCACUUGGCCAGCUUUCAUCCACAUAAUUAUAAUAAAUUUGACAUUUCAUAGAUAAUAUUGAUUUCUUUAUUUUAGCAUUUCACCAUAGGUGACAGUCUAGUGUCAAGAAUGAAAUUUCUAUUGAUCUUCUGCGCAUUAAUCCCUCAUGUGUAUGUGAUCAUUUUUAUAAGACCUUUUACUGCACAUAAAUCAAUAUUUCAUAUUUCCAGCCAUGCCAGAGGAGAUGUCAUAUUUGUAAACUGUGUCUUGACACUAGCAAUUCCUUUCUUGUUCAGCUGCAACUGUGCAA